UCUCGCGCGAGGAUGUAGUGGCUCCGCCUUCCGGCCUUCAGCAGCCUCCUGCGCCAGGGUGGCGGUAAACUGUGGGAGGGGUGUUUUGCUAGGCCGUGAAGUCGCCGGUCCGCAAGGUGGAAUGCGCUUGCGUCUCUGCAUGGCAUCAGAGGAACUUCUGACUUCUCUGUCGCCCCGACGUUUUCCUCGUCUGGUGCGUUCUUUAUAUGGGGCGAGCUUAGACCAGGCCAGAAACAGAAAACUUCACACUGAGGAAAAGACGCGGAGGCAGGCGGCAUCUCUACUCGCACACAGCGUCUCUCCUCACCAGGAAGCGCCGAGUUUCUUCCCGGACGCCCACUGGAAACUAAGAAGUGUCGCUUAUGAUAGAAAAUAUGCCAAGACUCAGUAGAAAAAUGGCCACGACUAAGUCCCCUUCUUGAGUGGCCUCACACCAACUGUACUCCCUGUAGCGGGGUUCACGCCGCAGUACUCCCGAGCGGCUUAGACCGUCUUGGCGGAUUGCGUCAGAGGAUGCCUCUUUUCCUCGGACAUUGUUAAAAAGCAUCACCACCUAGGCUCCUAGGGACACAAGCAUAAAAAUAAAGCGUAACAAUCGGUUAUGCUGGCCAAGAAGCAGCCUAAUCUGUCAAAAAUAUAAAUCAAAUUAUAAAUAAGCAAGACAUUUGAUUUGGAUAGAAUUUCAAAUAAGAGCCGUAGCACAUUUUCUGUUAGUAUUUAGAUGCGUUUGACUCCUUAGGGCCUAUAAUCGUUAUGUCUUUGAAAAUGUUUAUGAUCGUGAACUACCCUAAGGGAUUUCUAGGUUGUGAAACCAGUCUUCUGUUAGUUAAAUACAGUACAAUAUUGUAAAUACAAUACAAUAUUGGGCCCUAGUCGUGAAUUUAACACUGUGCUUAAAUUCUCUUCUCACAAUCCAGUUUAUCAGCCCAACUAGAAAAAAACCUCAUAUGCACGGGAUGAAUUCUCUGUUGUCUCUAGUACAGCCUGCUCUCCACCACCACCAUCAGAAUGUGGAAGCCUUAAUCUUUGGCCUAUGUGGUGCAUUGCUGUACGACAUGCCACCGUGGGAAACUGCGUGAGGAGUGUUUCCACCAGCACUCAGGUACUUCUGAUCAUUACUGAAGGGAGUUCGAGGCAAGCUUACCUGCUGUCUGUUGUGUUUGGACACCAUCUACCUGAGGCAGGGGCCCAAGUGAACCUUCAUCUUCAAAGGCCAAAAUUGGAUUCAAAGGAAUGUCUGGGCUCUCACUGUUGGUGACAUCUAAUCUGGAUUGUUUAGAUCCAAUAGGCACUUUACUACAUCCCUUUGAUGAGCAGCCUUUAUUAGGACCCUCAAAGAUGAGUGGACUGCAGUUUGGGGGUGAGGAGGAUAAUG